AGAGACAGCAGUCGCCGCGGGAAUACAGAGGUCCCGAGCGUUGUUCGGAUUCACUGGGCGUAAAGGGUGUGUAGGAGGCUAGGUAAGUCAGUUGUGAAAUCCCACCGCUCAACGGUGGAACUGCAAUCGAUACUGCUUGGCUAGAGGAUCGGGGGGGGAAGCGGAAUUCUUGGUGUAGCGGUGAAAUGCGUAGAUAUCAAGAGGAACACCGGUGGCGAAGGCGGCUUCCUGGAAGAUUCCUGACUCCGAAACACGAAAGCCAGGGGAGCGAAUGGGAUUAGAUACCGCGUAGUCCCUGUCUCUUAUACA
rnacentral:rRNA from 1 species